rnacentral:rRNA from 1 species
GCUCAGGAUGAACGCUGGCGGCGUGCCUAAUACAUGCAAGUCGAGCGAACAGAUAAGGAGCUUGCUCCUUUGACGUUAGCGGCGGACGGGUGAGUAACACGUGGGUAACCUACCUAUAAGACUGGAAUAACUCCGGGAAACCGGGGCUAAUGCCGGAUAACAUGUUGAACCGCAUGGUUCUACAGUGAAAGACGGUCUUGCUGUCACUUAUAGAUGGACCCGCGCCGUAUUAGCUAGUUGGUGGGGUAACGGCCUACCAAGGCGACGAUACGUAGCCGACCUGAGAGGGUGAUCGGCCACACUGGAACUGAGACACGGUCCAGACUCCUACGGGAGGCAGCAGUAGGGAAUCUUCCGCAAUGGGCGAAAGCCUGACGGAGCAACGCCGCGUGAGUGAUGAAGGUCUUCGGAUCGUAAAGCUCUGUUGUUAGGGAAGAACAAAUGUGUAAGUAACUGUGCACAUCUGACGGUAC